rnacentral:rRNA from 1 species
UUCCCUACGGGAGGCAGCAGUGAGGAAUAUUGGUCAAUGGUCGGGAGACUGAACCAGCCAAGCCGCGUGAGGGAUGAAGGUACAGAGUAUCGUAAACCUCUUUUGUCAGGGAACAAAGGCGGGGACGUGUCCCCGGAUGAGUGUACCUGAAGAAAAAGCAUCGGCUAACUCCGUGCCAGCAGCCGCGGUAAUACGGAGGAUGCGAGCGUUAUCCGGAUUUACUGGGUGUAAAGGGAGCGCAGACGGCAGUGCAAGCCUGGAGUGAAAGCCCGGGGCCCAACCCCGGAACU